rnacentral:rRNA from 1 species
AGCAGCCGCGGUAAUUCCAGCUCCAAUAGCGUAUAUUAAAGUUGUUGCAGUUAAAAAGCUCGUAGUUGAAUUUCGGGAUCAAUACGUCGGUCGUGCUUAGGUACGUACUGGCGUAAUUGAUUUCUCCCUUCUGACGAACCAUGAUGUCAUUAACUUGGUGUCAUGGGAAAUCAGGACUGUUACUUUGAAAAAAUUAGAGUGUUUAAAGCAGGCUCACGCUUGAAUACAUUAGCAUGGAAUAAUGAAAUAGGACGUUCGAUCCUAUUUUGUUGGUUUUAGGAUCAACGUAAUGAUUAAUAGGGAUAGUUGGGGGCAUUAGUAUUCAAUUGUCAGAGGUGAAAUUCUUGGGUUUAUUGAAGACUAACUACUGCGAAAGCAUUUGCCAAGGAUGUUUUCAUUAAUCAAGAACGAAAGUUAGGGGAUCGAAGACGAUCAGAUACCGUCGUAGUCUUAACCAUAAACUAUGCCGACUAGGGAUCGGAUGAUGUUAAUUUUUAAUGACUCAUUCGGCGCCUUACGG